UAAUAACUCAAAAUUUUUAACAUCCAAAUAAAAAAUUUAUUAUAACUAACCUUAGUAAACCCAUAUAAAAGUGUAAAUAAAUGAUCUCAUAUAUCUAGUACCUUAUGAAUAGUUGUUUAUAUAAUAUACAUAUAUGUUGACACAGAGAUAUGUCUUGCGUGUCAGCAGAAAAUUUAGAAAAAGACAAUCUGAAUCUGAUAAACAGGAACAUUGCCAACUAAUUCAAAUCUGCUGGACCACAACAGAGAGAGCAGCUCAACAAAAUGAUGGUCAAACUUAGAUGUAUUAGGUAUUAUUUGAGUAUUUAGGUGUAAUACCACCAUUGAUUUUCCCCUAUUAGUCUUUGUUAAAAUUUGCACUUUUCAAAACAAUGUGUAGAAUUUAUCUUUGUUUCAAAUAAAGAAAUACUUGGCAUGAGUAAAGUUUUAUCCUGUCCAGUACUAUAAUAAAAAUUUCACAUAACAUUUCAUUGCAUAUAAGAAAAUAACCAUCACUAGAAGUUAACCAAUCAAAUUUCUCCUCUUAUUUUAUCUGUGUACAAAGUUUAGUCAACAUGUAACCUCAAGAUUACAAAAUAUUCUACAGAAAUCCCAAAUAAAAAAUAAUGGUGCUUUGAAAUACCCAUAUGUUUAUGACACAGAAAUCUUUUACUGCAAUAAAAUGUAGGAUUAAUUACCUACAACUGUCAAAUUCCAGGGAAUAUUUUUUUUUCGACCUAUUUUCGUAUACAACCGGAUGUGACGUACCAUGAUUUGGUGGUAUUAAACCUUAUAAAAGAACAUAUUAUGGGAUAAUAUAUGAGAUUGACAUUUAUAAUGCAGUGCACAAGAUUCUUAUCUAAUGUGUGGAUGGAUCUAUGGACUAUAGGGUAGGGCCUCGAAAUGUUCGACAAACUGAGAUGAACUGAUUGUUAUGUACCUUUAUGGAAUAUAUCAGUAAUCUACCCCAAAUAGUUCCUAUAGAAUAACUUAAGCAAAAAUCUUUACAUUGAUGCUUUAUAGAAAGUUUCUGGCAAAUGACACAAGGAAUCAUUUGCUUUGUCAAAUAUAGUUUUUAUUUUAUACAAUUUAAC
rnacentral:lncRNA from 1 species